UCAGCUUCGGCCCAUGCGACAGAUUCCGGUUGGUCGAGCUGCUCCGCUGCCGGCCGGCGCCCCUCGCCGCCUCCCUCCAGUCCGGUGGCCACCCCGCCCUCUCGCCGUUCAAGCUAUCGAGCGCGCAUCCAGAGCACACAAAAGAGAGCGCGCCCCCGCGCGCGCGAUAUCAUUUCUCGCGUUCAUCUCCCGCACCCCCGGCCCCGUCGCCCCGCGCGACACGGCGGUUGCGCGAGCCCUAGCGAAUCUUCAGGCCCUCGGUGGAAUCGAAAUCAAGCUCGGGAUUCUGGAUCGCCGGCGGUCAGGCGGAGCGUGAAUGAUCUGGUGGUAUGUCCUCUGGAGGUGAUGCCUUGCCAGGGAGCCAAAGCUGGUGGUGGGAGAGGCGCCAUGCAUAGACAAGGACUAUUUCGAGAUGAGAAUGGGGUUCAAUCUAAUUUAUCCAGAGCAACAGUCCUCCUCUAUAAUGAGCCUCCAAUAUAAGCUAAGCUUGGCCUCGCCUUAAAAGAUGGAGUUAAGUUAGGUUCAGUUAGCCUCCAAUAUACUGUAUAACUGUACUGAAUUGGUACCCGGAUGCUCUUAAAGUGCACAUAAUCUUUUGCCAUCAGAUUAAAAUAUGUAAUGUGGUCGAAGAAGAAGAAGAUAGCUAUGGUAGCAAAUGCUGGGUUGAUUAAGUUCGUUGCUGCCAUUUAUGUAGUUGUUUCUUCAAGAUACGGGAGCUCUAAUCCAUGUAAAUCACUUUGGUUCUUGAACUGGUGCAUCUACUUGCUUGGGGCAGCCA